AACAGGUCCAAUACGUUCUGUGGCGGUAGCAAUGAUUAACAAAAUAUUGGGAAGUUUAGUAAGCAAGCACACCAAGAGCCUCAUCUCACCGAGUCCUUCAAUAGCCCUAUUCAGUGAGCAUUACGACUAUCUACAAAUGACUAACACAAAGAAAAUGCUUGGAGGCAAAGGAACGGGCUCAGCAUGUCAAAGAAAACUCUGUUUUGAAAAUAAAUUCUUGCCAGGAAUAUGUGACCAUAAAGUACGGAAAUCACCUGACUUAAAAAGAUGUGGGUCAUCACACGUGCGGGGAGAGGAAGACACGGGGUGAUUACUUCCCGUGUUCUCCUAGCAUUUGGACAGAAUCUGCUUCUCUCCUUACAUCUCCUCUUCACUUAAGAAUUCUUCCAACGCCCGCCCUCAGCCCAUAACGUUGACGAUCAAAACAAGGUGCUGAGAAAGAUGGAGGGACGUCCACCUCUAGGCAGGACGAGGGUCACAGGAG